CCAAUCAGAAGCAUUUGCCCGAGACUGACUCAGAGCUGGGUUAGAGGUGAACAAUGACAAGGCUCCAGGCAUUGUUUUCGCGGGUGCAGAGUGUGGCGGAAGGGCACAGGGCACGGCUCUCGGAAACCGCAGGCUUAGCAGCACCUUCUUGAUUACAUCAGGGGCGGCAGCUUUCACGGUGGCCUCGUUUCACGGUGCAGUUCGGGGAGGCUCAGCCUUCGGUCUUUCUUCAGCUUUCCCAAAGAUUCCGAGCUAGCCGUGCCCUAAAUAAAUCCCUUUCUGCUUUCACUAGCUAAAUGGGCUCCGUUAUCUGCCAUUAAGAACAAGGGGUCAGCCUGAGGCCACCAGAAAAGCCUGCGACCUUGGCCGUAACUCACGUCACUUUCCAGUCGCACAACAGACAGGAGUGGCCAGAGAGUCAGCGACUUGCUUCUGGACCUCAGCUGGCUGAUGGCAGAGCUGAGUCAGGCACGACGAACCUCAGGAAGCUUCUCCGCCAUCUGGACCGGCUGGCGUCCUCCUUCGGCUGCUACUGAAACCCCUGUGAAGGCUCUUGCCCACUUUCCCCUCUCACCCUCUCUGCCUCCGACCAGCCCUGGUGGCCCCCUAUGUGGCCUUUACGGUGCGACGUGCCUCCUGUGUCUAGGGAUCUGUGAGUAUAAAGUCUUCCUCCUUCGUGGCAUUGACUCCCACUUCCGUGGAGUCUUGCCAUACGUGACGAUACCGGGCCCCAGCUACCCCGCAAACACCCCACGUGGUGCCUCAGCCAGGUUGUCAAAAGCGCCCCACACCGGGGUCUACAGCCCCAGGUGUCCUGUCUGAAAACGGAGCCGAUGGCCCUGUUCCUGUCUCCAUCCUACCCGGCUUUGCUGCUUUGAGCUGUGCUGCUUCAUCUCCGUCUCUAAAGCUAACACUCGAGGAAGCAAGAUCAUAACAACCGCUGCCGAGAGCCCCCCCUCCGGACUCCGCUUCUGACGGGACACCCAAGGACUGCGUUCUGGAAAAAGCACGGUAAUCCCUGUCUGGCGGGGACACAGACUUUGAUGCGGACGUCACCAGUGAGGCUUCCGUCUCCUUGUGUAGUGACGUGGGAAGACGCUCCCAGGAUGAUGCUGAACGGGAAACACAAGCUACAGCACUGCGAUCUCCCGAAAGAACGGUCCUAGAUCUCCCACGAAACAGUUCGAGCUUCCCAUCAAACUGCCAGAAGUCUGAGAGAAGCAGUCUCUCCAACUUUCUGAACUCCACUGGCCUCUCAGGGUGAGUCAGUCGCUGUCUCUUUGUCCAAUUCUCGAAAGCCGAUCUCUGCCCGGCGCAAAGGGAGGGGCCCCGGCAUCGCAUUCGGCACCUCACGGGUAUAAAUAGUCACGGCCGCUCAGACCAGCUCAUCUCAGAUGCCACUUGGCUUCCGGCAGUCAAGUCCGGGGCGGGCGCCAAGCUGCCUCCAUCCUGCCCCCUCCUCUGUGCCCUCAGGGACCAUGGGGGGGGGGGGCGGGGGAAGGGCCAGGCAGCCCAGGCUGCCCAGCCAGCAGGUGAUGGCCUCUGCUAAGGGAGAAGACAAACUCAGAGGUGACCACGGCAGUCCUGCGUGUUAGUUUCCAUCCUCCUACCCAGACGCGGGCUCCAGUUCUGCAGGCUGAGGAGGCCUCUUGUCAGCGUGGCCGGGGGCCCUCACGCAUCCCUGCCAGCCUUUGUCCAUGAGCCUGCCCCUCAUAGGGCCCUCCUGUUGGUCUGAACCCUCUCGGGAGCUUCAUCAGGACCAUGGGGUCUUUUUUUUUUUUU